AGAGUUUGAUUAUGGCUCAGGAUGAACGCUGGCGGUGCGCCUAAUGCAUGCAAGUCGAGCGACGCAUUCCCGGUUCGUAAGAACUGGGUCUGACGGAGCGGCGAACGGGUGAGUAACACGUGAGCAACCUGCCCCGAAGACCGGGAUAGCCCAGGGAAACCUGGAUUAAUACCGGAUACCCUCUCGAGACCACAUGGUCAUGAGAGGAAAGGCCUUUGUGCUUUGGGGUGGGCUCGCGGCUUAUCAGCUAGUUGGUGGGGUAACGGCCUACCAAGGCAAUGACGAGUAGCUGGUCUGAGAGGACGAUCAGCCACACUGGAACUGAGACACGGUCCAGACUCCUACGGGAGGCAGCAGCAGGGAAUCUUGCGCAAUGGGCGAAAGCCUGACGCAGCGACACCGCGUGGGGGAUGAAGGCCUUCGGGUUGUAAACCCCUUUCAGGAGGGAAGAAAUUGACGGUACCUCCAGAAGAAGGACCGGCCAACUACGUGCCAGCAGCCGCGGUAAUACGUAGGGUCCUAGCGUUAUCCGGAAUCAUUGGGCGUAAAGAGCUCGUAGGCGGUUCAGCAAGUCGGCUGUGAAAGUCCGAGGCUCAACCUCGGAAUUGCAGUCGAUACUGUUGUGACUCGAGUCCGGUAGAGGAGAAUGGAAUUCCCGGUGUAGCGGUGAAAUGCGCAGAUAUCGGGAGGAACACCAGUAGCGAAGGCGGUUCUCUGGGCCGGCACUGACGCUGAGGAGCGAAAGCGUGGGGAGCAAACAGGAUUAGAUACCCUGGUAGUCCACGCCGUAAACGUUGGAUACUAGGUGUGGCGGUUAUACCAAUGACUGCUGUGCCGAAGCUAACGCAUUAAGUAUCCCGCCUGGGGAGUACGGCCGCAAGGCUAAAACUCAAAUGAAUUGACGG
rnacentral:rRNA from 1 species